rnacentral:rRNA from 1 species
UACGGAGGAUGCGAGCGUUAUCCGGAUUUAUUGGGUUUAAAGGGUGCGUAGGCGGACGCUUAAGUCAGCGGUAAAAUUGCGGGGCUCAACCUCGUCGAGCCGUUGAAACUGGGUGCCUUGAGUGGGCGAGAAGUACGCGGAAUGCGUGGUGUAGCGGUGAAAUGCAUAGAUAUCACGCAGAACUCCGAUUGCGAAGGCAGCGUACCGGCGCCCUACUGACGCUGAAGCACGAAAGCGUGGGUAUCGAACAGG